rnacentral:lncRNA from 11 species
UGCAGGAUGUUAGUAUAGUAAUUCAGUACGCUGGACUAAAUCUAUUGCAUUCUACAUACAAUACUGUGCAAAACGAAUGUGCCAGAUUUCUUGCUACUUCCUCCCUCUCCACCCUCUACAGUUUCUCUUUUCAUAGACCUCUCCUG